UUAAGAAAUGUGAGGUAAGAGUUUUCCCUUCAUUCAUUUUUUUGUGUUUGCACCACCCACUAAGUACUAACCCCUCCUCCUCCCUCCCCUUUGCACUUGUUCUGCCACUUUCGUUUCAGAGCCACAGUCGUCGAUGGAUUCAGCGCUGGAAUGCUAGGACUGGCUAUGGUCUAUAAGGAGGAACAGCAUGGAAUGAGGAGAAUCCUAGGACAUGGCAUGAUUCUGUCUUAUUUCACAUUUCUUGAUGUCAUGAGGGGAUGCUCUGCUUGGCAGUGAUCUUCAGUUUAAUUGUGUCCUCACACAGAGCCACGGAACUAUACAAACACAUGAAUAAGAGAAAAAAAAAUUGGCAAGAAGAGACCUUAUCUUACAGGAUCUACAUCUUUGAGAUUUACCAGAAAACAGAAUAGGGUUACCUUUGACUAGAGGAACUACCACAGGCAUGUCAUGAGCCCACCUUGAUAAACUAAUGCAUAGUAAGGUUGAAGAGGAUUGGCCAAAGUUUUUCUUCAAAGAUGUGGAUAGGGGAUUUGCAUCCUUGCAGAAAUUGGUGGAAACAAUUGGAAAAGGCAAGACUGAUGGAUGUUGACCCUGCAGGCUGCAGAUAGGUUAAGGACUCUCAUAGGAAGCGGAUGUGGAAUAUGGGAGUCCUUAACCUAGCUGCUUCUCCAAGGUGUGGAAAUGAGCGGGUACGAUCAGAUCAGAAUUGGUGGGAAAACCUGGAAAAGGCAAGCCUGAUGGACAUUGACCCUUCACAGUGAGGAAAUGAGCAGCUACAGCCAGACAGGAAUUGGUGGAAACAACUGGAAAUGCCAGGACUGAUGGAUGUUGACCCUUGAAGAUGUGGAAAGGAGCAGCUACAGCCAGACAGGAAUUGGUGGAAACAACUGGAAAUGCCACGACUGAUGGAUGUUGACCCUCCAAGAUGUGGAAAGGAGCAGUUACAACCAGACAGGAAUUGGUGGAAAUAAGUGGAAAAGACAAGACUGAUGGAUGUUGACCCUCCAGGAUGUGGAAAUGAGCAGCUACAGCAAGACAGGAAUUGGUGGAAACAAGUGGAAAAGAUGAGACUAAUGGAUGUUGACCUUCCCAACAGCAAGAACAUAUCACAAUGGAUAACUAUCACUGAUCAGAGUGCUUUGAUGAUUUGGUGAGAGUACUCAGGAGGAGACUGAUGAAGUCAUGUUGGUGUGCUUGACAUUAUGAAUGAUGAAGAUCCCUCAGAAACUUAAGGAGUAUCAAUUACCCCUUUCUCCUCUUCCUUGACAAGUGAUUAAAAAAUUAGACAAUUACAUCUGACAGGCUGGAAAGGAGACCUAAAGAAAGGGUGUUGGUGAAGUUUUUCUUCAACAAUGUGGAAAAGAGCAUUUGCAGCCUUACAGGAAUUGGUGGAAUCAUCAGGAACAUGCAAUGCUUAUGGAUAUUUACCCUCUAAGAUGUGGAAAUGAGCAUCUACAGCCAGACAGGAAUUGGUGGAAUUAUUUGGAAAAUGCAAUGCUGAUGGACCUUACCCCUCCAAGAUGUGGAAAUGAAGAGCUACAUCCAGACAGGAAUUGGUGGAAAAACCUGGAAAAGGCAAGACUGAUGGCCAUUGACCCAUCACAAUGUGGAAAUGAGCAUCUACAGCCAGACAGGAAUUGGUGGAAUUAUCUGGAAAAUGCAAUGCUGAUGGACCUUACCCCUCCAGGAUGUGGAAAUGAAGAGCUACAUCCAGACAGGAAUUGGUGGAAAAACCUGGAAAAGGCAAGACUGAUGGACAUUGACCCAUCACAAUGUGGAAAUGAGCAGCCACAGCAAGACAGGAAAUGCUGGAAAAAACUGAAAAAGGGCUAGACUGAUGGAUGUUGACCCUCAAAGGUGUGGAAAUGAGCAGCUACAGCCAGAUAGGAAUUGGCGGAAACAACUGGAAAUGCCAGGACUGAUGGAUGUUGACCCUUGAAGAUGUGGAAAGGAGCAGCUACAGCCAGACAGGAAUUGGUGGAAUCAUCUGGAAAAUGCAAUGUUGAUGCACCUUAACCCUCCAAGAUGUGGAAAUGAAGAGCUACAGCCAGACAGGAAUUGGUGGAAACUGGAAAAGAUGAGACUGAUGGAUGUUAACCCUCCCAAUAGCAAGACUUAUCAUUGAUGAUAACUGUAACUGAUCAGAUGCUGAAGUAUUAACUUCUAUUUUAUAAGUGUGCUUUGAUGAUUUGGUGACAGUACCUAGUACGAGACUCAAAUGAUGUCAUGAUGGUGUGCUUGACAUUAUGAAUGACAAGGAGCCCUCAGAAAAUAAAAGUAUUGAAGAGGCAAAUCCUUGUGAUCGUGUUUGGAAAAAGACAAAGAAAGAUGACAAUGCAGAAAGCCAGAUCUGUGACGCAUACACAAGCACAUCCAUUUACAAUGUUAUCAUUUUUUUAUUAUCCAAAACAAAUUUCUUUGAAACAUUUGUUUUGGAAAUGGGUGUCUGAGUUGUAAGAGGGUAUGGGGUCGCCCACUCAGACACGUGGGUUUUCUCCGGGUACUCCGGUUUCCUCCCACACUGACCCCAUUCUUUUUCUCUAUGCCAUUGAAAUAAUUACCGGUAUGUUAUUUUUGAAAAUAUUCUAAUGUAAAUAUCUUCUAUUAUCUAUUGUUUUGCUAUAAUUGUGAUUAGUCUAUACAAGUUCACUCAUUCUAUUGUAAUAAGAUGGUCAAUAGUGACUAAGAAUGUAUUGUAUUAUUGAAUGUAAAUCAGCAUUUAUUAUUGGUGUGACUAGUUCUGUGUUGAAAGUACAUGUUAAUGUUUAUUGCUUGUAUUAGUAAAUGUAAAUUUGUGAUGGUGAAUGGUGGAUUUUAAUGAGUUAAUGCAGUGAAAGUAGCUGUAAAUGUGUUGUUGUAUUUGUGACAGUCAAUGAUGAAUUGUAACUAGUUAUGCAGUAAAAAUACUUGUAAAUGUUAAUUGUAUUAGUAGUAAAUGUUAAAUUGUGACAGUGAAUGGGGAAAUGUGAAUAGUUAUGCAGUGAAAAUACUUGUAAAUGUUAAUUGUAUUAGUUACAUAAAUGUUAAAUUGUGACAGUGAAUGAUAAAUUGCGACUUAAGUUAUGCAGUGAAAGUAGAUGUAAAUGUUAAAUUAGUAGUUAAUGUAAAAUUGUGACAGUGAAUGGUGAAUUGUAAAUAGUUAUGCAGUGAAAUGUUAAUUGUAUUAGUAAAUGUUAAACUGAGACAGUGAAUGAAUAUUUUUGAAUUAGUGCAUUGUUAAAUUUUCUGAACUCAUUGGCCAAAGUUUUGUGCAUUGUUAAAAAAAUCACAACCAAGAAAAAAAAAACAAAA